UACGUAGGGUGCGAGCGUUAAUCGGAAUUACUGGGCGUAAAGCGUGCGCAGGCGGUUCGUCAAGUCAGGUGUGAAAUCCCCGGGCUUAACCUGGGAAUUGCGCUUGAAACUAGCGGGCUUGAGUGCGGCAGAGGGGGGUGGAAUUCCACGUGUAGCAGUGAAAUGCGUAGAGAUGUGGAGGAACACCGAUGGCGAAGGCAGCCCCCUGGGUCGACACUGACGCUCAUGCACGAAAGCGUGGGGAGCAAACAGG
rnacentral:rRNA from 1 species